rnacentral:lncRNA from 1 species
UUCUGUUUUUAACUUCAGAGUAAAUAAAAACACAGAAUAUGAUUGAUCUUAAAAAUGAAAAAAAGAGUUGUGGAGAGAAUACGAUUCUUUCUUUUCUUUUAAUUUAUUAUUGUUUUAUUUGAUUUUUGUUGUGAUUUGAAAUUUUAUUUUAGAAGUAAGGAAUGGUCAAGAUUGAGUUUUUCAUAUUUAAUUUGGGUGAGUUAGACAAAAACAGUAAACACAUUUCUUAUUGUAUCGUAAAAAAUUAGAAAGAUGGAGCCGAUGCAAUAACUUAAAAUUUGAGGCUUUAUUUGGUAUUAGUGUAUGUUUGAUUAAAAAAUUAAAAAAUUAAAAAAAAAUUUUUACUUCAAUUUUUUUUAGGCCAAUUUGCAUAAAAAAUCCACUUAUUUUGGGCUUUUGCAAAAUCGGGUCACCUUUUUCAUUUUUGCAGAUUCGGUCCGCUUUUUCAGCAAACUGACCAAAAUACCCUUAUUACUUUUUCUCUUUCCUCUUUCUCUCUCUUCUUCGUUUCUCUCGUUCUUUUUUUUUUUCUCGCCGGUAGAGCGGAGGCGGAGCGGAGGCAGAAACGGUUCGUCUCGCCUCUCACCCUCAUACUCUCGCCCUCGCCCCUGCCCUCGUCCAUGCACCCCCCACCUUCCUCGCCUCCGACCCCGUUAAGGCCGCGCCGCGACUUUUUUUUUUUUUUGCUUUUUUCUUUUCUUUUCUUCUCCGACUCUUUUCCACCGUCUCCGACGACGACGCCUCUCGCCCUUCCCCGCCCUUCUCAUUUCUCCCUCUCCCUCAUUUUCUACCGCUUCCGACGACGAU